AUUGAACGCUGGCGGCAGGCCUAACACAUGCAAGUCGAGCGGAUGAAGGGAGCUUGCUCCUGGAUGCAGCGGCGGACGGGUGAGUAAUGCCUAGGAAUCUGCCUGGUAGUGGGGUAUAACGUCCGGACACGGUCGCUAAUACCGCAUACGUCCUGAGGGAGAAAGUGUGGGAUCUUCGGACCUCACGCUAUCAGAUGAGCCUAGGUCGGAUUAGCUAGUUGGUGGGGUAAAGGCCUACCAAGGCGACGAUCCGUAACUGGUCUGAGAGGAUGGUCAGUCACACUGGAACUGAGACACGGUCCAGACUCCUACGGGAGGCAGCAGUGGGGAAUAUUGGACAAUGGGCGAAAGCCUGAUCCAGCCAUGCCGCGUGUGUGAAGAAGGUCUUCGGAUUGUAAAGCACUUUAAGUUGGGAGGAAGGGCAGUAAGUUAAUACCUUGCUGUUUUGACGUUACCAACAGAAUAAGCACCGGCUAACUUCGUG
rnacentral:rRNA from 1 species